AUGGCCACUUCUUUUUCUUGCUUCCUUGCCAUCUCAAUUCUAGUAGUGUUCUUCUCACUUCCCCCGCCUACUGGUGCAAGGCUCCUGUAUGCGGACAAGAACACCCUCAAUGACAGCAAGUCUUUCUCCAUCGGAGGUGGCAGAGGCAAGGGUGGUGGCAGAGGUUUUGGUGUGAGUAUCAGCCAUGGCGGGCACGGCACCUCCAUCGCUAUAGGCGGCGGACUUGGAGGUGGAGCUGCUACUAACCAUGGUGGUGGCCCAAGCGUAGGUGGUGGAGCAGGUGCGGGCAUUGGCAUCAAUAUAGGGCAUGGUGGCGUGAAUGUUGGGAUAGGCGGGGGUGGAGGUGGAGCGGCUAGCACCGGCGGGGCGCAUGCAGGUGGUAGCGGUGGAGGUGGCAUUGGAGUUCAUAUAGGCCAUGGUGGUGUGGAUGUAGGGAUAGGUGGAGGUGGAGGCGGGGCAGGUAGCACUGGCGGUGUGCAUGCAGGUGGUGGCGGAAGAGGUGGCAUCGGAUUUCACAUAGGCCAUCGUGGGGUUACUGUAAGCGCCGGUGGUGGGGGCGGUGGUGCGGCCGGUGUAGGUGGAAGUGGGGGAGGCGAAGGCGGUGGUAGCGGUGUUGGUCGUGCCGGCAAUGUUGUGGGUGGUGGGGGAGGGUAUGGCAGUGCAAACGGCGGUAACGGAAGUGGGGGAGGUACCGGAGUUGGGUCAACUGGUGGAAGUGUAGGUGGUGGCUCUGGAAAUGGUGGUGUAGUACAUGGUUGA
rnacentral:rRNA from 1 species